AUUGAACGCUGGCGGAAUGCUUUACACAUGCGAGUCGAACUGCAGCACGGGGGCAACCCUGGUGGCGAGUGGCGAACGGGUGAGUAAUACAUCGGAACGUGCCCGGUCGUGGGGGAUAACGUAGCGAAAGUUACGCUAAUACCGCAUACGAUCUGAGGAUGAAAGCGGGGGACCUUCGGGCCUCGCGCGAUCGGAGCGGCCGAUGUCAGAUUAGGUAGUUGGUGGGGUAAAGGCCUACCAAGCCGACGAUCUGUAGCUGGUCUGAGAGGACGACCAGCCACACUGGGACUGAGACACGGCCCAGACUCCUACGGGAGGCAGCAGUGGGGAAUUUUGGACAAUGGGCGCAAGCCUGAUCCAGCCAUUCCGCGUGCAGGACGAAGGCCUUCGGGUUGUAAACUGCUUUUGUAUGGAACGAAAAGGCUCUGGCUAAUACCUGGGGCUCAUGACGGUACCGUAAGAAUAAGCACCGGCUAACUACGUG
rnacentral:rRNA from 1 species